GACGGUUUCGGCUGUCACUUACAGAUGGACCCGCGGCGCAUUAGCUAGUUGGUGAGGUAACGGCUCACCAAGGCGACGAUGCGUAGCCGACCUGAGAGGGUGAUCGGCCACACUGGGACUGAGACACGGCCCAGACUCCUACGGGAGGCAGCAGUAGGGAAUCUUCCGCAAUGGACGAAAGUCUGACGGAGCAACGCCGCGUGAGUGAUGAAGGUUUUCGGAUCGUAAAGCUCUGUUGUUAGGGAAGAACAAGUGCAAGAGUAACUGCUUGCACCUUGACGGUACCUAACCAGAAAGCCACGGCUAACUACGUGCCAGCAGCCGCGGUAAUACGUAGGUGGCAAGCGUUGUCCGGAAUUAUUGGGCGUAAAGGGCUCGCAGGCGGUUUCUUAAGUCUGAUGUGAAAGCCCCCGGCUCAACCGGGGAGGGUCAUUGGAAACUGGGAAACUUGAGUGCAGAAGAGGAGAGUGGAAUUCCACGUGUAGCGGUGAAAUGCGUAGAGAUGUGGAGGAACACCAGUGGCGAAGGCGACUCUCUGGUCUGUAACUGACGCUG
rnacentral:rRNA from 1 species